rnacentral:ncRNA from 12 species
AAAACUCUGAGGACGGAACUGGUAGCCGUAGCCCAUCGUAAGAUGUAGGAGAUGUGGGAGUACCACCCCACCUAGUUUU